rnacentral:lncRNA from 1 species
GGAGGGGAGAUAUGUUUACAUGUUCUCACCUCCCCUACUAUUUUUCAGGUAUCGCGGGCGACGAGUAGUGGGACGAGACGUGAGGUACGUGGGUAGCGGUCGAUAGAGCUUCCGCUAUCUAGUUCUCCGUGUUGUUGUAUAGCUCUCUUUCUGGUGUCGACCCUAUCGAGCCUGUUUGGCUGCUGUUUUUGGGUUUGCGCACGCUUAUCCGGCGAUCUGAGGCUGUCCUGAUGCCUCCGGAGGUGAGCACGGUGAUCGUGGGUCAGUGCAGAUCACAGUGCUCACCUCACUUUGGAUCAACAGUGUCCGGUUAGCCCUGUUUGGCGCAAUCUUCCCCCACUGCGCGCUGUUUGCUGAACCUUCGGGUUGCUCCCGCGCUUCCCACAGUGACCUGUUGCGCUCCAGACCGUGAGCACGGCCUCCGGUACGUCGAGACCUAUCAGUAUGUGUCUCAGCAGAACUUAGAAGUCCUCGGUUUGCGUGUACGGGCUAUGUUAUCACCCAAUUUACAUGAAAUAUUGGGAUUUUAUGUAAAUUCAGGGGCUUUUGUGCAAUUGUGCACUUUGGGGCUACUGUGGACAGUGUGUGUGAGUGUGUUUGACCUCUGGACUGAUUGUCCAUGAUCCGUUAGCUUUUGGAGAAAUUGAAGAGUCGAUUUCGAUGCGUUUUUCGGCGAAUUCGCCGAAAGAACGCGGUUUCGAUUCGAAUUUCUUCCGACGUCGUUUGGUUGCUCUGUGAGUGGUCGCUAAGCCUUGUUGGCUGGUCACCAUCAUCACUUUGUGGGUUCGGUGAUGACGGGUGAGCGACGGUGGGUUCCGGUGUCGAAUUUGACACUUCCGGGAACCCGUAUUCGUACAAUUAUCCGGCGAUAAUCGUGUCGCGGUGUUUAUCUUAUGUUUGCUGCCAAAACAUCCAAAUUUGAGUGUUUUAUGGUAACAGGUGACUUGUAGCAUGGGUCGGUGCGUUUCGGGACAUUUCAGUGGAUCCUCCUUAGGUCCUGUUGACGUUCUUUUGCAGUCAGGUGACAGGCGCGACAGUUGUACAGGUGGGUACUUCGAUGCGACGUCGGUACAGUGGUGCACGUUCGGCGAUGGUUUCUUACCCUUGCUCCUUUGUUAUUAUAUAUGCAUACGUUAUAUAUUGAGCUUUGCACCUCUGUUGUUUACGUUACACCCACGUUGUUUGAUUAUACUCUACUCGUUGUUUGCAUGCUUAGUAUCCUGAGUAGGAGUAGAGUAGUUCUAUCCGCAUCCGUAUCGGUUGACCUAGUUGGUCUGUUGAGCAUCCGUAUCUGUUGACCUAGUUGGUCUGUUCUGCAUUCCUCUACUCAGUUAGUUCCAUAUUGAUAUCAUGCUUAGGAGUAGAGUCGACUUAUCGAUUCACUAUAUCUGUGAUUUGGUUGGGCGGUUCCCUUAUUUUGAUAUCUAUGACCUAUUCGGUCGAGUUGCUACAGUUCUAUCUAUAUCUGUGAUUUGGUUGGGCGGUUCCCCUAUUUUGAUAUGUAUGACCUAUUCGGUCGAGUUGCUACAGUUCUAUCUUGACGUAACCGAUUAGUUGCUGAUGGCCUAUACGGUCGGUGAGCCCCAAGGGGCUGGAUUGUCGGCUAGUUGCCGAUGGAUGAUCUUUGAGCAUACUACAUUGAUUGCCACUGCAGGUACGCAUUUCACGAACACCAGCGGUCUGAUCCACCGCAAGAGGGUGUUCUUUUCCGGAAAAGUGGUUGGAUUGCCAACCCGUGAGCCCAGGGGCUUUAUUGCGAGGGUAUAUGCUUCUGACCCAGGGGCUUCAUUGCGAGGGUCAGGUACUGUGCUUCUGACCCAGGGGCUUCAUUGCGAGGGUCAGGUACAGGUUGAGCAGUGUGGCAUGGGCCUGAGGUCUUCGGACCAAUAGGGUAGCGAGAUUGGGUACUUUUGAGCUGAUCGUUAGUUGACGCAUGCAUACAGUAGCUGUAGUGUUUAUUUUCAGUACAUCCUUAUUUGUUUAUUGCAGCUACUGUUUUAUUUACCUGCAUCUAUACUUGUCAGCUCCUUACUUAUCAGCAUCUUUACUUUCCAGCACUUAUGUCUAUCUAGUUCUCCGUGUUGUUGUAUAGCUCUCUUCCUGAUCCGGUGAGUACUCCUCGACUUCUUCGGCUUGCGGUACCCACUGGGAGGGGAGACAUGUUUACAUGUUCUCACCUCCCCCACCAUUUUUCAGGUAUCGCGGGCGGUGAGGGUUGAGACGAGGCGUGAGGUACGCGUGUAGCGGUCGAUAGAGCUUCCGACCCAGGUUAUUUCGGUUUAGUUUCUUACCCUUCUUACUUCGGUUGAUGUAUAGUUUAGUUGGUUCAUGUGGUUCAGUGUUUAUUUACAUUUGAAAAUGUGGAUUUCUGGAUUUUGUAAAAUAAAAGGUUUUCUACCCCUCGUGGUAGCGUUUUUAAAGAAUAAAGGUUUCCGUGUAGGAAACAGUUUUCAAAAGAAUUUUUCGUGGAUUUCUAUUUAAACAUUGAAUGUAAAACUGUGAUGUGAAUGGUGAAUGUAUGAAUGUAUAGGUAUCUUUAUAUUCAUUUGGUUGUGGUUGUUUCCUGGCU